AAAGAAAUGGGUCCUAGACCCCACACACGCCACUCGGUAAAGAAUCGGGCCUAUAGCUCAGCUGGCUAGAGCACACGACUGAUAAUCGUGAGGUCAGUGGUUCGAGUCCACUUGGGCCCACCAAAUGGGGCUGUAGCUCAGCUGGGAGAGCACCUGCUUUGCAAGCAGGGGGUCACCGGUUCGAUCCCGGUCAGCUCCACCAAAGGGAAGAGGCCCGCGCGCAGCGGGUCGGACGCUGGGGUGGAGAAGUAGGCGGCAGGAAGCGGGUAACAGGUAACAGGUAACAGGAAGUAGAGAGUAGGAAAGUAAUUAAAGAGUCCGUAGUAGUGAGUUUCUGAAUAAAGAAGCUGAGUACUACCGAUUCGCAGUAUGGAAGCGGUAUUGUUCUUUGACAGUUGAGGAAGGGAAGGCCAUGUUUGUCAUCUUGCCGAUGGCAGACCUCCAAGUGGAUGCUUGGGGAUAUAU
rnacentral:misc_RNA from 1 species